GUUGUAUAGUCAAGUAAUUAAGUGCAUGUGGUGGAUGCCUUGGCAGUCAGAGGCGAUGAAAGACGUGAUAGCCUGCGAAAAGCUCCGGGGAGGCGGCAAAUAUCCUUUGAUCCGGAGAUGUCUGAAUGGGGGAACCCACCUGCUUUAAGGUAGGUAUUGCAACAUGAAUACAUAGUGUUGCAAGGCGAACGAGGGGAAGUGAAACAUCUCAGUACCCUUAGGAAAAGAAAUCAAUUGAGAUUCCCUCAGUAGCGGCGAGCGAACGGGGAUCAGCCCAUUAAGUUAUGUGUGUUUUAGUGGAACGCUCUGGGAAGUGCGAACGUAGAGGGUGAUAUUCCCGUACACGAAAGGGCACACAUAAUGAUGACGAGUAGGGCGAGGCACGUGAAACCUUGUCUGAAUAUGGGGGGACCAUCCUCCAAGGCUAAAUACUCCUGACUGACCGAUAGUGAACCAGUACCGUGAGGGAAAGGCGAAAAGAACCCCUGUGAGGGGAGUGAAAUAGAUCCUGAAACCGCAUGCAUACAAGCAGUGGGAGCACCUUCGUGGUGUGACUGCGUACCUUUUGUAUAAUGGGUCAGCGACUUAUAUUCAGUAGCGAGGUUAACCGUAUAGGGGAGCCGUAGAGAAAUCGAGUCUUAAUAGGGCGUUUAGUUGCUGGGUAUAGACCCGAAACCAGGCGAUCUAUCCAUGAGCAGGUUGAAGGUUGGGUAACACUAACUGGAGGACCGAACCCACUGUCGUUGAAAAGCCAGGGGAUGACUUGUGGAUAGGGGUGAAAGGCUAAUCAAGCCUGGUGAUAGCUGGUUCUCCCCGAAAGCUAUUUAGGUAGCGCCUCGGACGAAUACCAUAGGGGGUAGAGCACUGUUUCGGCUAGGGGGUCAUCCCGACUUACCAAACCGAUGCAAACUCCGAAUACCUAUGAGUACUAUCCGGGAGACAGACUGCGGGUGCUAACGUCCGUAGUCAAGAGGAAAACAAUCCAGACCGCCAGCUAAGGCCCCAAAAUCAUAGUUAAGUGGGAAACGAUGUGGGAAGGCAUAGACAGCUAGGAGGUUGGCUUAGAAGCAGCCACCCUUUAAAGAAAGCGUAAUAGCUCACUAGUCGAGUCGGCCUGCGCGGAAGAUGUAACGGGGCUAAAACUAUGUGCCGAAGCUGCGGAUGUAUACUUUGUAUACGUGGUAGGGGAGCGUUCUGUAAGCCGAUGAAGGUGUGUUGAGAAGCAUGCUGGAGGUAUCAGAAGUGCGAAUGCUGACGUGAGUAACGACAAAACGGGUGAAAAACCCGUUCGCCGAAAGACCAAGGGUUCCAGUCCAACGUUAAUCGGGGCUGGGUGAGUCGACCCCUAAGGCGAGGCCGAAAGGCGUAGUCGAUGGGAAAAUGGUUAAUAUUCCAUUACUUCUGUGUAAUGCGAUGAGAGGACGGAGAAGGCUAAAUCAGCCUGGCGUUGGUUGUCCAGGUGAAAGGAUGUAGGCAUGUAUCUUAGGCAAAUCCGGGGUACUCUAUGCUGAGAUCUGAUAGCAAGCUGUACUUGUACAGCGAAGUGGUUGAUGCCAUGCUUCCAGGAAAAGUCUCUAAGCUUCAGUUACACAGGAAUCGUACCCGAAACCGACACAGGUGGUCAGGUCGAGUAGACCAAGGCGCUUGAGAGAACUCUGCUGAAGGAACUAGGCAAAAUGGUACCGUAACUUCGGGAGAAGGUACGCUGUUGUUGGUGAUGGAACUCGCUUCCUGAGCUGACGACAGCCGCAGAAACCAGGCCGCUGCAACUGUUUAUUAAAAACAUAGCACUCUGCAAACACGAAAGUGGACGUAUAGGGUGUGAUGCCUGCCCGGUGCUGGAAGGUUAAUUGAUGGGGUUAGCGUAAGCGAAGCUCUUGAUCGAAGCCCCAGUAAACGGCGGCCGUAACUAUAACGGUCCUAAGGUAGCGAAAUUCCUUGUCGGGUAAGUUCCGACCUGCACGAAUGGCAUAAUGAUGGCGGCGCUGUCUCCAGCAGAGGCUCAGUGAAAUCGAAAUCGCUGUGAAGAUGCAGUGUACCCGCGGCUAGACGGAAAGACCCCGUGAACCUUUACUGCAGCUUGACACUGAACUUUGACCUUACUUGUGUAGGAUAGGUGGGAGGCUUUGAAGCUGGAACGCUAGUUCCAGUGGAGCCGUCCUUGAAAUACCACCCUGGUAAUGUUGAGGUUCUAACUCUGUCCCGUGAUCCGGGACGAGGACCGUGUCUGGUGGGUAGUUUGACUGGGGCGGUCUCCUCCUAAAGAGUAACGGAGGAGUACGAAGGUGCGCUCAGCGUGGUCGGAAAUCACGCGUAGAGUAUAAAGGCAAAAGCGCGCUUAACUGCGAGACCCACAAGUCGAGCAGGUACGAAAGUAGGUCUUAGUGAUCCGGUGGUUCUGUAUGGAAGGGCCAUCGCUCAACGGAUAAAAGGUACUCUGGGGAUAACAGGCUGAUACCGCCCAAGAGUUCAUAUCGACGGCGGUGUUUGGCACCUCGAUGUCGGCUCAUCUCAUCCUGGGGCUGAAGCAGGUCCCAAGGGUAUGGCUGUUCGCCAUUUAAAGAGGUACGCGAGCUGGGUUUAGAACGUCGUGAGACAGUUCGGUCCCUAUCUACCGUGGGCGCUGGAAAUUUGAGAGGAUCUGCUCCUAGUACGAGAGGACCAGAGUGGACGAACCUCUGGUGUACCGGUUGUGACGCCAGUCGCAUCGCCGGGUAGCUAUGUUCGGAAGGGAUAACCGCUGAAAGCAUCUAAGCGGGAAGCCUACCUCAAGAUAAGAUUUCCCUAGGACUUUAUGUCCUCUAAAGAGCCGUUCGAGACUAGGACGUUGAUAGGUUGGAUGUGGAAGCAUAGUGAUAUGUGAAGCUGACCAAUACUAAUUGCUCGUGAGGCUUGACUAUACAACACCCAAGCAGUUG
rnacentral:rRNA from 1 species